UGGCUCUGCUGACCCACUGUAACUUGCUGAGCCACUGAAACGCAGUGAUGAAUUUGAGGACUUGAGGCA
ensembl:snoRNA